rnacentral:lncRNA from 1 species
AAACAUCAGUACAUAUAAGGUCCAACAUGCACUUGCCCUUUCUCCAUGUCCAGUAAAUAAAGUUUUGAUCAUUUUUUCUAUGAGACAAGAUUCACAAGUUUCAUAUGAUUCAUAAUCAUAAGGAUCAAAGAAAUUAUUUUUGUAUAACUUAUUAAUUCUUGACUCAUUUAUAUGACCAAGUCGGCAAUGCUAGAGAUAUGUAACAUUCACAUCCUCUCUCUUUUUUUUCUUCAUAUUAUCUGUUGGUGCAAAAAUCUGCCUGC